rnacentral:tRNA from 1 species
GCUCCCGUAGCUCAGUUGGAUAGAGCGACGGUUUCCUAAACCGCAGGUCGCAGGUUCGAUUCCUGCCGGGAGCGCCA